rnacentral:rRNA from 1 species
GAUGAACGCUGGCGGCGUGCUUAACACAUGCAAGUCGAUCGAAGCACCUUAUUCUGAUUUCUUCGGAAUGAAAAAUUUGGUGACUGAGUGGCGGACGGGUGAGUAACGCGUGGGUAACCUGCCUCAUACAGGGGGAUAACAGUUAGAAAUGACUGCUAAUACCGCAUAAGACCACAGCACCGCAUGGUGCAGGGGUAAAAACUCCGGUGGUAUGAGAUGGACCCGCGUCUGAUUAGGUAGUUGGUGGGGUAACGGCCUACCAAGCCGACGAUCAGUAGCCGACCUGAGAGGGUGACCGGCCACAUUGGGACUGAGACACGGCCCAAACUCCUACGGGAGGCAGCAGUGGGGAAUAUUGCACAAUGGGGGAAACCCUGAUGCAGCGACGCCGCGUGAGCGAUGAAGUAUUUCGGUAUGUAAAGCUCUAUCAGCAGGGAAGAAAAUGACGGUACCUGACUAAGAAGCACCGGCUAAAUACGUGCCAGCAGCCGCGGUAA